CGUUCUCAGUUCGGAUCGGAGUCUGCAACCCGACUCCGUGAAGCUGGAUUCGCUAGUAAUCGCGCAUCAGCCAUGGCGCGGUGAAUACGUUCCCGGGCCUUGUACACACCGCCCGUCAAGCCAUGGGAGCCGGGGGUGCUUGAAGUGCGUCGCCGCAAGGCGCGCCCUAGAGCAAAACCGGUGACUGGGGCUAAGUCGUAACAAGGUAUC
rnacentral:rRNA from 1 species